GACGAACGCUGGCGGCGUGCUUAACACAUGCAAGUGGAGCGACGAACCGGGCUUCGGCCCGGGGCCAAGCCGCGAACGGGUGAGUAUCACGUGGGUAACCUGCCCCGAUGACCGGGAUAACCCGAGGAAACUCGGGCUAAUACCGGAUGUGCUCUCCGCACAUCAGUGCAGAGAGCAAAGGAAGCUUCGGCCUCCGCAUUGGGAUGGGCCCGCGGCCCAUUAGCUUGUUGGUGGGGUAACGGCUCACCAAGGCUGCGAUGGGUAGCUGGUCUGAGAGGACGAUCAGCCACACUGGGACUGAGACACGGCCCAGACUCCUACGGGAGGCAGCAGUGGGGAAUCUUGCGCAAUGCGCGAAAGCGUGACGCAGCAACGCCGCGUGAGGGAAGAAGGCCUUCGGGUUGUAAACCUCUUUCAGGAGGGACGAAGGUCCAGGCGCGAAUAGCGUCCUGGACUGACGGUACCUCCAGAAGAAGCCCCGGCUAACUACGUGCCAGCCGCCGCCGUAAAAC
rnacentral:rRNA from 1 species